rnacentral:rRNA from 1 species
AUUGAACGCUGGCGGCAGGCCUAACACAUGCAAGUCGAACGAGUGGCGGACGGGUGAGUAAUGUCUGGGAAACUGCCUGAUGGAGGGGGAUAACUACUGGAAACGGUAGCUAAUACCGCAUACCAUCGGAUGUGCCCAGAUGGGAUUAGCUAGUAGGGGGGGUAACGGCUCACCUAGGCGACGAGCCCUAGCUGGUCUGAGAGGAUGACAAGCCACACUGGAACGGAGACACGGUCCAGCCUCCUACGGGAGGCAGCAGUGGGGAAUAGUGCACAAGGGGCGCAAGCCUUAUGCAGCCAUGCCGCGUGUAUGAAGAAGGCCUUCGGGUUGUAAAGUACUUUCAGCGGGGAGGCGUUACCAACAGAAUAAGCACCGGCUAACUUCGUGCCAGCAGCCGCGGUAAUUC